UGCAACCUAAACCGUGCCGUGGCGAGCAGAGCAGAGCAGAGCAGAUCAGAUCAGAUCAGAUCAGAUGGACCUGCGCCAUUAGAUCCACAUUUUUAUCCACACUCCAUACCAAAUGGUGGCGGUAAUGCAGCAAAUCGUUGUUUGUUAACCGCCAUAAAACCUCAAAAAAAGAAGACCCGUUCAGAUACGAGGCGGGAAACGGCAUAAGGCACAGGGCGCGAACACUACAAACGGAAAUGAUCAAUCAAGAGACUCGUGUUAUCAGCACAGACACCGGCAGGCGGUGGGAAACGCAUGAAGCUCCCUGCAGAGGCACAAGUCCAGCAGCUGCAAGAGGAAGGAUGUUGUGCUGUGGAGUCUUUAAAUCUCCUGUCCCUCCUCCCUCCCAGGACACUCGUCAUUGACCAGGAGGCUAACCUUCUAUUCUCAAGUCUGAAGAUGAGAUUUACAGAAGAGUUAGCUGGGGUUGUUUAAGCCUCUGUCAACAUGAUGAACAAAAUGGAUUCUGCCUGCAACCACUUUCCCUUUCAUAAUGGAUGUCCACCAACUCCAACCUAAGAGCUGCAGCCAGUUGCUGUGGUCACCAAUGACCUAGUUAAGACAGCUUUGAUCAGUGGCCCACUUGAUGUCUCUUGCUCCACUUUGAAACUACAGACAGCCACAUGACCAGAGCCACAGCUGAAGCUCAGCCUGGACCAUCACCUUCUGCAUGUGUCUCCUGUCAUUGUUCCUUGAGCUGCUGCAGUACGAGCAGUAGUAACCCUUUCUGAUGCAGAAAAAGCCUUAUUCCUCAAUGUAUUUGCACUAAAGGACUUUCUACAAAUCUUAAUAAGAAAAGUAUAAGAGUAUUCAAAUCAUAAGAAGCCGUUCAUAAGGGGUAGAUAUUCAUUUGUUUUGAAAACUUAAAUUGUUUUGUUCAUUUUAUCUUUGGGAUUGGCCUGGAGUGAAAGUGUGCACUUUUUUUCUGUUUCAGGGAUUAAGUUGUAUUUAAUUUACAUGAACCAAGAGUCUAAAUCUGUGUAUAGAAACAAUUCCUACUGUUUUGGGCUAUUUAAAUAAAAAUAAUUACCAAAGA